UCGAUAGGUUGUUUGAUGAGG
ensembl:piRNA 21ur-11148 ncRNA